rnacentral:lncRNA from 1 species
GCAGUGGCACGUGCAAGUGGUGUUCUUUUGUACGUUUGGCAUGGAUCUAUCAAAUAUACAGUUGGGCUGGAUUUCAUGAGCAUACCGCUCUUAACUCGUUAUAUUUUUCUCAACAGAUUAGGAGACCAAUUUCAUACACAGAAAGAGAUUAUAUCUUUCCAAAUUGUACAAGAAGAUGGACCACAAUCCUAUAAAUACAGAAAAACUAUUUGAUAAGUGAUUUAUUUC